rnacentral:rRNA from 1 species
GACGUAGGGUCCAAGCGUUGUCCGGAAUUACUGGGCGUAAAGCGCGCGUAGGCGGCUUAGCAAGUUAGAGGUGAAAGCCCGAAGCUCAACUUCGGAAUUGCCUUUAAAACUGCAAAGCUAGAAUCAUGGAGAGGUGAGUGGAAUUCCGAGUGUAGAGGUGAAAUUCGUAGAUAUUCGGAAGAACACCAGUGGCGAAGGCGACUCACUGGACAUGUAUUGACGCUGAGGUGCGAAAGCGUGGGGAGCAAACAGG